UUCACAAGCUCAGACAAAGCAGGACUUCUUACCCAAUUCAGACCUAGGCCGGGACAUGGGAGCCAAGUCAUGCCAUUCAUCCAGCACAGGGUCAUAACGACACAGGCAGCGAGUCACAGUGCCAUCAGGAAACUCUCCUCCCGCCAGAUGGUGGACAGAGAUUAUGGGAGGAACUCAUACUGUGGUGGUGUUAGUGUUUCGUCGAUGGCGUGUCCUUGGUGAGAUGAGUUGGUGGCGGCGGUCUGGAAGGAGAUGGUAGAGCCGAGCUUCCUCCACAAUGAUUC